AUGACUGCUCAGCCUCACAGGAGAACUAGAUCUGUAUUGUCAAUGUCACCAGGCACAAAGGCAACUAGAUGGUGUAAAUGUUUCUUGUGGCUUGGGGAUGUUCUUUCGUGUCAGAGUUCCAUAGUUUAUGAAGAUUACCUUCCUGCCACUGUGCUUCCCAGCCUGCUUUCAAAGGCAAAGGUGUACUUCAGUGAGGAGUACCUUUGCCUGAAUUCCAGAGGGUGCUUCUCAGUGGUAACAGAACUGUAUGGAAUGGCUUUUCAUGUAAAUCCCUUUGCAGAAUGGAGGGUCUUGGUUGUUCAUUGCACCUUUGUGCUGUGGCUAAAUUUGGCAGAAGCAGUAAUUCAAGACAAAGUCUGUACAAAGCCAGUUGCUUCUGCACUGACAGGAAAAUCCACCACUCUUUCAGAAUCAUAAAACUGACUAUGUUGGAAAAGACCUUUAAGAUCAUCAGGUCCAACCCAGGACUGCCAAGCCCACCACUAAGCCAUAUCACUGAGGACCUCAUCUGCACGGUUUUUGAACACUUCCAGAGAUGGUGAUUCCACCACUUUCCUGUGAAGACUGUUCCAAUACCUGAUUACCCUCCCUGUGAAGAAACUUUUCCUGAUAUCUAAUCUAAACCUCCCCUGGUGCAGCUUGAUGCCAUUACCUCUUGUCCUAUUGCUUGUUACUCAGAAGAGACUGACCCCACCUCACUACAACCUCCUUUCAGCUAGUUGUAGAAAGCGAUAGAGAGCACUUCAGCACCUCAAUGCCUUUCCUGAAGUAGGGGCACAGAACUGAAUGCUGAAUGAGGGGCUGAGUCGGGAUUUCAAAUGCCAAGUUGCACACGGAGGAACUGAAAUACCUUCUAUCAGAAAAUAGUGUGAAUUGAGCGUUACUGAGUUAAUGACCUGGAAAGCAUCUUUCUCAAGUGCCUUGAGGAUGUUUCUGAAAAUAAGACUGUAUGUUAAGUAAUUUGGUUGAAUUUUAUCUAAUUAGAGCUACCUCUGAUUUCCUUUUCAAGGUGCAGCAUUUAUUGAUCCUUCUCAGACUGGUAUUUUUCAAUUAGGACAGUAUUGAACCACAACUUAUGUUAUUUCAGGUAUAAUUAAAAGACUUUUUUUUUUCCCUGGAACACAAUCUGAAAACAAAUGGCAAAUAAAAUUUGUUAUUUUGAUAUUUCUCCAGCUAUGUGCAACAUAGAUAUUAGCAUAAAUUAGCCUAAUUGGGUCAGCUUGUACUUAAAUUUCUGGACAAUAAAGCUUUUCCCUUCUGUACCAAUCUCUUCCUGCAAGCCACAAUUUAAAAAGGAGAUUAUGAUUUUCUAGUUAGAGUGGGUAAGAAUAUAUUAAAUAUUAAUAACACAUAAUUUAGGUCUGUAGCUCACAUUCAGUUUGAAUUGCUUCAAACUGAACUUGUUUUGUUUUUCUGACUUUAUUAAUUUAAAAUAAUGUUCUUACUUCAUAGUUCGUGUUUUUUAAUAUGGGGAAUUUUUCUGAUUUAACAAAGGGCUGCUAGUCUGUUCAGUGUGGUUUGAUUUAAGUUGGUGGGUUUUGUUUUGUGUUUGGUUUUCUGUAAUAUCACUGUUCUGCAACAUCUUAAAUUACUUUUCGUGAAGACAGCACCCGGUCAGCUUGUUACGCAGCCACAAGAUGUCAUGAGAAGCCGUGCCUCGCUGCAGGAAGAGUGAGUGUGCUCUGCGAGUGCUUUGUGAGCCCUCGCAAGGGGCCAAGUUGAGCAGUAGUUCUGGAACGAGGUGUUCUGAAAACAUCUCAGUUCUCCAUACAACUAUUGCAGUGUCUCAACUUCUUCAGUGAACCCUUUCAUAUUAGGGUUAGGCUUGAAACAAGUGACUAGUAACUGCUUGAACUGUCUUCUAGCAUGCCCUGAAGCAGCAGAUGUAAGGGUGCCUUAAGGUUCCCAAGAUGUAGCCUGCCCUGUAACAUUAAGCACUAUAGAACUGAAAGGUUCUCUAUGUAGUAACCAUAAUUGUGCAUGCUGGAAGAGGUCUGGUUUGUGGCUUGGGUUUUGCAGGGGUUUGGUUGGUUUAGUGGUUUUUUUUCUCCUCUGAAUUUACUCCAGUAAGAGGAGAAAUGUGUUUCCAGGAACUGGUAAGGACUUUUUCCCAUUAAAUCCAGGAAUGUCCCAGAGUUUGCACUUUUGCUUCUGCUUUUAAAUUCCCAGAUGAAUUUCCUCUUUGAAAGCUACAUAUUAUCUUGAAAAAGCUGUCAAGCAGCAACUUUGCAUAAACUAAGCAUUUAAUAUGCUAGUGUGCCCGGAGAGUUCUUGAAAGGUCUCAUGGGAGCAGUAUUGACUCCUGAGUUGUAUCUCAGCGUGAGUCAGGGAAGCUCAGCAAAACAGUAUCACAAAAAGAAACCACAGCUUUCUGGUAGGAGGGAUUAAAAAUCCCUCAGGAUAAGUGUCCAAAGUCAGUAAGACAGUAUUUUUCUCAGGAUCCAAGGCUGUGAGGGCCAACAAAUAUUACUUGGUCUACAGAGUUGGACAGGGAAAGACCUUGGUUCAGAAGAGCACAGAAAGUUGGCAGGAUGUGAAAAGUGAGGGAAAGAUUCCAGCUAAUUUGUGUUAAUCCAGUAAUUUGGAUUCUAGACACAAAAUGGGUCACCAAGGCAAAGUUAAUAAAACAUUAAAAGACGUCCAGCAGCCUGAAUAAAUACAUGGUGUUCAUCAGCAGUCCCUGGAUAUGGUGUUGAUUCUGUGUUUGAUCAUGUAUUUUCCCCUAAAGAUACUUAAUUGAACUAAAACUGGUGUGAGACUGAGUUUGUUAUGAUUGAUUGAUUCCCUAUCAGAAAACAAAAUCGCUUUGAUGUACGUGAACGAGCGGUGCUGUUUCUCAUUGUGCUCUGUGAAUUGUCUUCCCUGUUGAGCAGAGUACUUCACAGGCUGGAGCACUCUGUGAGCAGCGCACUCCUCAGCAGGCACAACACGUUUGUUGUUGUCAAUAUGGAGAUGGAAUAGAGAACUAAAUAAUUUUAAUCUCUUUAUAGGAAAGAAUGAUUCAGGGCUCCAACUUCAGACAAAUUUGGAAGUAAUUAUCUAUUCCCAGACCUACAGCUGUCCUGGGAGGCAAGAAAACAUCAUUCAGAAGCUGUGUGCUUGAAGUACCAAAGCUUUAAGGUGCUCAGGAUUGUGGUGGACUCUUGGACUGUAGAGUUGGAUGUGCAGCACUGGAGAGAGCCCGUUUUCUCUGGAUAUUAGCAGGCUGUAUGUAUCCCACCUGUUGGAGGAUGAUGGGUGUUAUAGCUGGCAAAGGCUUCAGAGAACAUGUAGAGCUGUACUGCAACUGCCUUCUGUGCAGAAGCUCAGGGCACUUUUCCCUACGUAUGUGGCACUACAACAAAGCUCGUGUGUUUCCUUUUUUAAUGGUUAUGGCAGGUGCCUCCUCUGUUCAGGAAGAGACUUUUAUGGCAGCUGUAAAGUCUAGGGGAAUUUAAUGUGUUCCAUGGAUAUACAGACACAACAACACAGGUUGUAUCUGUAUAUGGGUUGAAGUAUGUGAGGUUACUGGAACAUUUUUUUUCAGCUUUUGAUAUUUUAGGUUAUAAUAAUUUGAAGUGAAUAUUUUAGUGCACAUAAAAUGCAGAAUUGCCUCUCAAGAAUUAUUUUUUCACUGUUAGCCAGAAGUUCGCUAAGCUGUGCAGUUUAACAAUGCAUUUCUCCUCUUAGCUGAGUAUCACUCUAUGAGCCUAGGAAAUCGGUUUCUUCAUGAGUUCCAGAAUUCACAGAUAUGUGAACAAAUUCCAGCAUAGACAUAGUGUAAUAGGGCUUCUUUAAAAGCAGUUUUAAUUUCUUCUUCAUUUUUCCCUCCCAGUGAAAUGGAU
ensembl:lncRNA